UUUUUAACUCCGCCGGCCGGCCGGUAAGCUGCUCAGGGUGAGGAGUUAGGGAACCGCGGGGUGUCGCUUUCGAGGGAUCGUGAGCCAUAGGUUGGGAAUACAUAAAUCUAGUCUGUUAAUUCUGUUUUGAUGUUUCUGCGUCUAUGAUCUCACAGAUUCCUGACCAUCGUGAAAGACCCUUGAUAAGAAAUAUUUAUUGCCCUGUGUGGUAAGAGCAAGCAUUUGAUCCCAGCAUACAGGAGGCAGAGCAGUGCCAACUGUGGACCACAAAGACAAUUCAGCCUCAUUCUUCCCUUUGUUCUGCGUAUAACACUUCGGUGGGGAGAAGAAGCCGGAGAAGGAGCUAGUGACAUUCAUUUUUAACAGGGACUGAAGAACACCUCUGUCUUCGUUAGGAUUUUGCUGCUGUGAACAGAGACCAUGACCAAGGAUGAACAGCAACUUUCAGCACUCUGAAAUCUAGCCAAAAGAUUAGUACCAGGUUGAUAUGUUCCUGUGAUUCAAGUUCAUGGAUUCCUCAGCAAUUGGAUCUUACUGU
ensembl:processed_transcript Gm15246 predicted gene 15246